rnacentral:lncRNA from 1 species
AAAGAAUGUUUUAGCAUGCAAAAUGCAACUUGGAAGACAUCCAUUCAGUUGGAUGGAGAGUAUUUAAUCAUUUAAAAAGUAGGCCAAAGAGACUUAUCUCAACCAUACUGCUAAAUAGUUAUGAGCUGCAUCAUACAUAAAUUAAGUGUGCUCUAACUGGGGGUAUGGAUAGACUCUUUCUUUAGUCAAUUAAGUGUUUACAGUAUUAGUAUCUACUUUAGUUAGUUAGAGUAAAGGAAUUAAAGAGACCAUUUUGCCAGUCACCAUGAGGUGUCUCAGUGUCUGAGGAGAAUUUGUGUGAACUGUCAGCUGAAAGCAUCGACAGCUUCCCAUUAGUAAUGAAUUAUGGAAAUAAUUUUAUUAAUUUCUUCACCUCAAUCAGAACAUGUUAGUGAAAGUUGCUCAACCAAACAUCAAAGAACCAUUGCAUUUUAACCUUUUAGUCUUUUACCGUGUAACCAGGAACAGCGAAGAAAUAAAUUAGUGUAGCAUUCCUUUAAAAAAAAAAUGCCUGGAGAUAAGGAGUGGACAUAAUUUUUUCUGUUUUUAAUUUAAUAGCAGGUUUAUGGUUUUAUGCAAAGCCAUUCACAUUACAUUUGACCCUCUGGGAGCUGCUUUUUUUUUUUUUCUGUGGAUAUAAUUUUGAGUCUUUAAUAAUCUGUUGUUAAACCCAGUCUGAGUUUGAUUAAUGAAUUGUGAUGAACCGGUGCAUUAAUUUGCAGGUUUGGUCUAAUGCCCUAAAAGGCUGCUUUGUUGCUGGUUAUUAAUGCUCAACUCUUCAAGAGGAGCCAUGGGAUGGCAGUGUGUCCCAAGUAAUGAACAAGUUACACAUUUGAGCAGUCCCAAUGAUAGAGCUGUAGCUCUAGAAGUGACCAUGGAGCUACAUUAUUGAAAGAAAAAAAUCCUGAUUUAGCUUAAUGCCCUAGAACAGGGGGCCGCAGACCUCCAAAUCUACAGGUCUCUGGAUGGAAUUCAGGGGAAUCUGUGAAUUUCAAUAGGAAAAAAAUCUUUAAUUAAUCUCCAACUGAAAUUUAACAUUGUUCAAUUAUGAAUGUAGGUGACAACCAUAGUAUUCUUAGCUGUAUCUGUGACUUUGUCAUCUCUAGAAAUCACAAAUAUUUCCAGAACAUGUUAUAGAGAUGCAAGUACCUCACUAUGUCAUUUGGGCUUGUCACUACCUCAGAAUUAUAGUAAGUAUGAGGACAGCUGCCUGACUUGUUAUUUAAUGUAAUAAAGAAGUACAUAUUUUACUAUCUUGUUCAUUUUUUAAAAAAUGACUGUAUUCAAUAUAAUUGGUUUCAUUUGUAAUUUUAUUUUAGAUAUCAAAACCAGGAAUCCAAGAAGGGGUUUAUGGCUCCAAAAUGGUUAAGAAUGCCCUUUUCUGAGUGACUGUUGUCUGUGCUGCCCCUUAGUGAUACUUUACCUGUUCCUCAGGGCUCUAUUUUCAGGAACAUGCAAGCUUCAGAUAUGUUACCAAUGCGGCCAUGAUAGCAAUGACUAAGUUGUGCAAACAUCAUCAACUUUGCAAUUACUCUCCUCCUCACUUUCCUCCUCCUAAGCUCUGGAAGCUAUGAACUGUUUGUUUUACUCACUGGUAUUUCCCCAACUCAUAUCUUAUUUGACACAUACUAGGCACUUCGUAAAUAUUUAAUAAAGGAGUGAUAGCUUU